rnacentral:rRNA from 1 species
UGGGGAAUUUUGGACAAUGGGCGCAAGCCUGAUCCAGCCAUACCGCGUGAGUGAAGAAGGCCUUCGGGUUGUAAAGCUCUUUCAGACGGAAAGAAACGGUUACGGCUAAUACCCGUGACUAAUGACGGUACCGUAAGAAGAAGCACCGGCUAACUACGUGCCAGCAGCCGCGGUAAUACGUAGGGUGCGAGCGUUAAUCGGAAUUACUGGGCGUAAAGCGUGCGCAGGCGGUUUGGUAAGACAGAUGUGAAAUCCCCGGGCUUAACCUGGGAACUGCAUUUGUGACUGCCAGACUAGAGUGUAGCAGAGGGGGGUAGAAUUCCACGUGUAGCAGUGAAAUGCGUAGAUAUGUGGAGGAAUACCGAUGGCGAAGGCAGCCCCCUGGGCUAACACUGACGCUCAUGCACGAAAGCGUGGGGAGCAAACAGGAUUAGAUACCCAUGUAGUCCCUGAGCGGGCUGGCAAGGCGCAU